rnacentral:rRNA from 1 species
UGCUUUGACAGCUAGGAUGUUGGCUUGGAAGCAGCCAUUCAUUUAAAGAGUGCGUAACAGCUCACUAGUCGAGCGAUUCUGCAUGGAUAAUAAUCGGGCAUAAACAUACUACCGAAGCUAUGGACGAAAGUGGUAGGGGAGCAUUCUAAUUGUGUUGAAGGUGUACUGUGAGGUAUGCUGGAACGAUUAGAAAAGAAAAUGUAGGCAUAAGUAACGAUAAUGCGGGCGAGAAACCCGCACUCCGAAAGACUAAGGUUUCCUCAGCUAUGCUAAUCAGCUGAGGGUUAGUCGGGACCUAA